CUGCGUGAUCCAUCUCAACUAAGCAGGGCAAAGGAAAUCUGUCUUCUAAUUAGAUAGGAGUGAAGUCUGUCUAUCAUUGAUACUUGUCCACUUAUGCAUCAAUCAUCAUGAUAGGUAUAUGUACUUACUAGUUAUUUACUAAUUUAUAUUUAAUUAUUAUCCUCUGCAAAUGUUGUUUUUUGUGCUAAUCACUCUUACUGACAUGUCGGUAUUUAUCACAUUUCAAAUGCGGUAUGUCAUAUUUGAUUGCAACCCCUCAAUUCUUGACUUAACAGUAAUAUUUUGAUCUGCCAAUUUGUCGUUCUGUUGAGUUACAUCUUGCAUUCAGUUUAGUCAUUUACUUGCAUAUUGAAAGUUUCCUUUUGUUACUUGUUUUUACUUUUGUGACAUUUGAUAGUUUCACCGUAGAAUUUUUAGGCUGACUUUUGUCAGGUUUAAGUUGCGUGAUGUUCCUUGAAUGUGGUCUUGCUCGUACCGGUUCUGCGGUCGCUCAGUUGAGAAUGUAUGUACUCCAUUCACUGCCCAGUGACCUGUGGUUUGUAUUUGAUUUGUGUGUCGUGACGUACAAACCUUACCUUGGGCAAGUUGUGGCAUUGAUGCCCGUCGGUUUGAGGCGUGUUGCUGCUUUUUCUAGCUACAGCUUUGUACAUAGAAGGAUGCUUUGAGAAUCAUUGUUGCAGGUUUGAGUUUAUCUGGUUGCAGUUGUUGAUAUGUUUGUGUUUCAAUGAAUCAGAUUGUGUUUUCGUCUUUCUGUCGUGUCUCCUAUGUUUGUGAGUGGAUCGGUUGCUCUAUCAGCUGGGUUGCUACUUCAGAUUGUUUUUUUUCCCCCUGUAUCGGGGUGUUUGUAUGUAUGGAGCACUUGCAGAUACAGUUUGCGAUGUCUCAUCGCGCUCCCCUGCAUUCGGCUGGCUCCACAACGAUCAAUGCUAGAGUUGACAACCAAGCGCCACAACUCGUGAGCCUACUGCCUUUCAAUUCCUAUCUAUCUCAUCUCUCUAUCUCUAUACUUGGUUGUAAGCUGCUUGACGCUGUGGUGUUUUAAUUUGGUCUUCCCAUUAUUAAAAUUAAUACGGCUCUUAGUUUUCUAGCAUCGCUCGCUGCCGACCUGCCGUGGCAUACUGGCAUGGCAAGGUAGUGGAAGCUACAACGAAAUGUGGACUCCACACCACACGGUACCCUCUGCUAGAUUAGCUCGCUCCCAAGCAAAACGCACGCUCCUGGUACGCGUUUCCAUCUCAGCAGCCUUGCUUGACCAUUCUCUUGGCACUUGAGCAAAGACUCAAAGUCGUCAACCAACCCUUAUUAAAAGUAGUAGCAAUCAGGGCCUCUCUCAUCCGUGGGUGUGGCCAUCUAGAUCUAGGCUCAAAGCAACCCGAACUACCAAAGCAUACUCCCAUACUGCAUACAACAAGAGGGGCCGCACUGGGAGCUGCCACAAGCAAAAGCCAGUACAUCUGAGCUCCAGGAACAUCUGAUUUGCACACCUUGUAUAGGAUGAAAGGAAAGUAAAAUUUGGAGAUGGCACAAGCAGCACAUCCGAGCUCCAGGUACCCAAGGUCCAACACUAGGUCGUACAUCAUCACAACCAAAAGUCUAAACGACGUGGUUUAUUCUUCUGUGCUUCAAGCUGUGGAACGAGAAGGCUGUAAGGGUUUGCUUGCAAUAUCAAAGAAGGCACUUCAGCAACAUAAGCUAAAGAGCUACACUUGUUUCUGAAGGAAAUUUAAGUGAAAAAGACACUUAACAAAACGGGUCUAUAUGGAAGCUGCCGUAGUAUCUGGAAUAUUGAAGGUUGUCGACAGCAAGCUAGCUCCAUUGCUAAUCAAGGAGUACAUCUCGAUAGUUGGUGUCCGAAAGCAUCUCGAGGAGCUAAACGAUCAAAUUCGGGAGAUUAACUGUUGGUUGGAAAGAGUAGGAGAUGAAGUUGCGCGAAAUGAUCCAGCACUUAAUUGGCUUAAAAAGUUGAAAGAUAUAGCUUAUGGUGUUGAUGAUAUUGUUGAUGAGUUUCAGCUGGAGGCCGAGAGGCAUGAUGCCCACGAUGUUGGUGGUGUUGUGUCCAACUACUUGUAUGCAAAACCAAAAUCUCUUAUACUUCAAUGCAAGGCAACCAACAAGCUCAAGGCAGUCAAAAAGAGAUUUGAUGAAAUUGUGAAGCAAAGAACUGAAUUCAGUACAAUAGCAAACAGCUUACUAGCGAGUCAUCCUGCUCGUGAUAUGAAUCAUAAUACUGUGAACAUGAUGUCACUGCCUACUGUAGAUGUUGCAUCAGUGCUCGGAAGAGACCGAGAGAAGAAUCAAAUAAUAUCUAAACUGGUAGAGACUAAUGACCAACAAAGAAUCAAGACUAUUUCCAUCAUCGGGCUUGGUGGCUCUGGAAAAACUACAUUAGCUCAGCUGGUUUUUAAUGAUUGUAGCAUUAUAGAGAAGCAUUUUGAAGUCAGACUAUGGGUUCAUGUGUCACAAGAAUUUGAUGUUGAAAAGCUUGUCAAGAAACUGUUUGAAGCUUUUGCUGAUAACAAUCCCGGACAGCAUGCACUGCCGUAUAUGAGCAAAACAAUCUCAGACAAGUUGAUUGGAAAGAGGUUUCUGCUUGUAUUGGAUGAUGUUUGGACUGAGUCCCAAAUCCUAUGGGAACAAUUCAUAGUAUAUCUGAAGGUUGGCGCAUAUGGGAGCAGAAUUUUACUCACUACCCGCAGUAGAAAAGUUGCAGAAGUAGAAGGAUCAGCAUAUCAAUUUGACUUGCCAUUUUUAUCUCCAAAUGACAGCUGGAAACUAUUUCAAUAAAGUGUAGUAAUGCCUCCCAAAGGUUUGGGGAUUGAAUUUGUAGAUGUUGGAAAAGAUAUUGUGAAAAAAUGUGGUGGGAUUCCACUAGCAAUUAAAGCUUUGGCAGGUGUCCUUCGUGGCAAGGAACUGAUAGGAGAAUGGCAAGCCAUGAGAGACAGCAACUUGUUGCAUUUUGUGGGUGAAGAAAGUGGUGUAUCAGUAUCUGCAUGUUUGAGGUUGAGCUAUUUCCAUUUGCCAUCUCAUCUGAAGCAGUGCUUCACAAUAUGUUCAUUGUUUCCCAAAGGUCACAAGAUUGAUAAAGAGCAACUGAUUGACCUAUGGAUUGCUCAUGACAUGAUUACUAUUGAGCCUGGUGUUGAUUACUUGGACUAUAUUGGCCACAAGUGCUUUAAUUCUCUCAUGAAAAUGUCUUUUCUACAAGACGUGAAUGAAUAUCAUGGGAGGGUGACAUGCGGCAUGCAUGAUUUGGUUCAUGAUCUUGCCCGGUCCAUAUUGGAUGAUGAGAUUUCUCUUGAUGUGCCAAAGGAUCCAACCUUUUUACCAAGAGCUACAGAUACUUUUCUUUAACUGAACAGGAACAAAAUCUACCGCCCAAAAAUCUUUUUAAAAAAGCACGUUCUGUAUGUGUUGAUUAUUGUGAUGACACAAUAUUUGGGGCAUUGGAGAACGCAAGACACUUGCGCAGUAUCACCAUGGGAACUAUUUAUACGCAAGCAAUACCCAUUGCCAUAUUGCAGGUAAAAAAUCUGAAAUAUCUUGUGAUUUCAAGACUGCAAUGCAAAGCACUCCCAGAAGCUAUUUCAGAUAUUUGGAGCUUACAAGCUCUUCAUGUUACAUAUAGUGAUCUUCUCGAGUUGCCUAAAUCCAUCAGUAAGCUACAGAAGCUAAGGAAGCUGAACCUAUACCGCUGUGGGGAACUAAAGUGUUUACCAGAUUCUAUUGGUGAUUGUCAAAAUAUUUCAAGCAUUGAUCUUUGCUAUUGCGAGAAGCUCAAAGUGUUGCCGGAAUCUAUAGGCAGAAUUGAAAAUCUAAGAGUUUUGAAACUAGCUAACACCAAAAUUGAGAAGAUGCCAUCAAGUAUCACAACACUGAGAAAUCUUGUGUGUCUUGUCCUUCAUCGAUGUUGGGAGCUAGUAGAGCUGCCUGAAGGCAUCAUCAACUUGGAGAAGCUUCAAGUUUUGGAGCUUGGAGAUUGUAUAAGAUUGCGACACGUGCCUGUUGGUAUAGGGAAGCUUAUUCGAAUACAGAAGUUGAAUUUUUUUGUUGGGGGUGACAGUGAAAAGUUUGCAGUAAUUUAUGAGCUUAGUAGGAAUAGUGAGGAUGUAGCGAUAACAGGUAUUGGGCAUAGGAUGAUGCACCUGGACGAUGCACGCAAGGCAUGUUUGAAACAGAAGGCUAACUUACAAAGGUUGAAGCUACACUGGAGAGUGUGUGUCAGGGGUGAAGAGAACACUAAAUUGGAGCAGGCUGUACUUGAUGGUUUGGAACCGCCACCAGGGAUUAAAGAGCUGGACAUUGUGGGGGUAUUCAGGCAGGGAGUGUGCCCGGUGGAUGCAGAAUCAUGUUGGUGGUGGAGUACAAGGGCUUCCUUACUUGCCAUUUUUUGAGGGUGAUGAAGCUAGAUGAUUUCCCAAAAUUGAAACAUCUGGAUGGGCUUGCGGUGCUGCCUUGUUUGGAGGAGCUUGAGCCGUGGAGGAUGCCUUCUCUCGAGAGCAUAAGUGGAGGCCCAUUUCGUUCGCUGGUGAAGUUAGUUAUGGUGCGACUGCCUUGUCUGGGAGAGGUGUGGAUGGUAGUCGAGAAGAGCAUGCCUGAUGGAGAAGAGGGACGUGGCUGCAGCAAUUGCACACCUCACUUGGGACAAGUCCUCCGAGUUGGUGCUUUUGUAUCGAAUCUGGAUAUAUCUCUUUGUCCUAAGUUGGAGGUCAAGCCGUACCUACCUUUGUCGCUGCAGCACUUGGAAUUGUACCGGAGCAAUGAAAAGCUGCUGCAGUUGCCAUGCGAGUGCAGCGGGUCUGCCUCUUCGUUCUUCGGUUUUAGCCAUCUGAAGAAGCUUAUGCUACAGGGGAUUACAAGGCAUGUCAACUUUAGUGAGCUAAGCGAAGUUUCCGGAACGACGAAUCGAGGAACGAGGAACGGGAAACGAGGAACGGCAUUUGGGAUGGAUUUUUACCAUGGGAGAACGAAAAUGUUCCCCGUUCCUGUCCCCAGAACGGCGGUGACUUUGGAGCUAAUCCAGCUACCAGACUGCUUUCAAGGUCUCAAAUCCCUUCAGUUUCUAGAAGUGAGUGACUGCUCUGCUAUUCGCAUGCGGCACGAAUCGCUAGGGGAACUCCAGUCCCUGCAAGAGUUGACCAUCCGGAACUGCAAUAGCCUGACCACCCUUCCCCAAUCAAUGGGUCACCUCACAUCCCUCCGGUCUUUGAUUUUGGACUCAUGCUCUGCCAUUUCGUUGCUGCUCGAAUCGCUAGGGGAACUCCACUCUCUACAAGAAUUGACCGUCCAAAGCUGCCGUAGCCUGAGUAGCCUUCCACAAUCAGUGGUUCGUCUCACAUCCCUCCAGGUGCUCCGUAUAAGUUGCUGCGAUGCAUUUCACGAAUUGCCUGAACGACUGGGAGAGCUCCGCUCUCUGCGCAGAUUCCACAUUGGAGGGUCGCGGGGGCUGGCUUGCCUUCCCGAAUCCAUGUGCGGCCUCACCUCCCUUGAAGACCUCUCGAUCUGGGAGUGCCAAGCAUCAAAUCUUUGCCGGAGGGGAUAAAGGGCCUCACCUCUCUGCGAUAUUUGAGUAUAUGGGGCUGCCCUGAUCUCAAGAGGCGGUGCGAGAGUGGAACAGGGGAGGACUGGCACCUCGUCUCUCACAUCCCUAAUUUGGUAGGCGACUGGCGAAUGCCUCCUAGUGCUUCAUCAGGUUCAUGCGCACCUGAUGUUACUAUCAACUUAUGACGGUACAGUUUGCUCAGGGCAUGUGGAGACGUGUUCAGUCUUUACUUAUGGGUAUCCAAAGUCAAAUCGAGCUUGUUAACGCUGAGGAUUCUGAAUUGAGGUGUUUACAAUGCAUUCGUAAGGGGCACAUGAUCUAAGUGCUGCCAACGCAAUGGCUGUUGGGCUAGCAUAUCAACCGGUUGCCAGUAAGCAGACCACAUUGCGAGGUAGACCAGGCCCAUUUCUGUUUGGCACAAUUCAUCAUUCUUUUUAGAGCUAAUGGGAGCUGCUUCUUUGUACUGCAACCACCACGAACUCUGUUUUGCCAUGAAGCAACUGCGCAUCAGUUACGGCUCACUGCUUUCGUCUUGCUUGUGCUCGACGCCUGAAGCGGCCUGCUGCAAAUUUACCCUGUUGGCUGAUGCCACCAAGUAAUCUGCUCAACUGUCCUUUAUUAUCAAUGGAUGCAUGGACCAUUCAAAUAUGCUGUAUGUCUGAUUGUGUGUAGCGCACAACAACUCUGCUUUGUUAGAUGAUAUUCAACAUAUUUGUUGGAGCAAGCAGUGCUUUGUAUUAUUUCAUAUGCGUAUGAAGUUCCAGAUUUCAGGACAAAAAAAAUGCUAUGUUGGGCUUUUUAGUUGA